AGGAGCUAGGAGCGUUGCCGGCCCCUGAAGUGGAGCGAGAGGGAGGUGCUUCGCCGUUUCUCCUGCCAGGGGAGGUCCCGGCUUCCCGUGGAGGCUCCGGACCAAGCCCCUUCAGCUUCUCCCUCCGGAUCGAUGUGCUGCUGUUAACCCGUGAGGAGGCGGCGGCAGCGGAAGAUGGUGUUGCUGAGAGUGUUAAUUCUGCUCCUCUCCUGGGCGGCGGGGAUGGGAGGUCAGUAUGGGAAUCCUUUAAAUAAAUAUAUCAGACAUUAUGAAGGAUUAUCUUACAAUGUGGAUUCAUUACACCAAAAACACCAGCGUGCCAAAAGAGCAGUCUCACAUGAGGACCAAUUUUUACGUCUAGAUUUCCAUGCCCAUGGAAGAUGGAGUCUCGCUCUGCUGACCAAGCUGGAGUGCAGUAGCGUGAUCUCGGCUCACUGCAGCCUCCACCUCCCAGACAUUUCAACCUACGAAUGAAGAGGGACACUUCCCUUUUCAGUGAUGAAUUUAAAGUAGAAAC
rnacentral:sRNA from 1 species